UCCGAUUACAGAUUCAAUCAACUGAAGAUGUUGAAACGUAUCGUGCUGCCGUGUCUAGUUGCCUGUGUCUUGUGCCGAUCCUACGGAGUAAGGCGUGGUUCCUCGUUGUUUGACGGACUCAGUAGAACUAGGUGGGGUUCAAGCUUUGACCGUUGGGGAAACGAUCCUUGGAAUAGUGAUAUGUAUGGAAACGACUAGUCCCGACGUGGAAGCGACAUUUGGAGAGACAGGUGGUCUGGUGACAGGAUAGGAAACAUAUGGGGAUACGACCGAAGAUACUGAUGCAGAGACAAUGAAUGAUGCUGAAAGAUCGAUGUGGCCAAAGAUUACAUGGAAAAUCCGUUUUAACAAUUUCAUGCAUGUCUAUUUGUAAAAGUGUAU